GCAAUAUUCCUUUCAUCCUUUUUUAAGAAAUUAGAAAAAUGACAAUUGAUAAUUUUUUAAAAGCUAGUCUAACCUGUUUUUGAAGGGGAAGAGCAUUUUGCAAAUUCAGAUUGCAAUACGACACACUUGCUCGUUCAUGUCAGAUUCUUAUGUAAUACCGAUGUUUUUAUAAGUGGACCAGAAGUCAAACCAGUCCCAUGCCCUGUUCUGCUCAACUUGUUUGACUGGUUCAGUUGAUAGGUCUAUUUAGAAAUUUCAAAUGGAUUGGUUCUUCUCAAAUUUGGCCUAAUAUGCAAUUAAAAUCACUCUAAGGCACAAUUAUUCAUUGCUGAACUCUUAAGAACCUCAAAUAAGAGAACAAUGUUUUUUAAAAAAAAAGGAUUAAAUCUGGAAUUUUCAUUUAAUAAAGCAAAAUUGAGCUAAAUAAAAAAGACAUUCAAUUAGAGCAUUGAGGCAUUCAAUAUAAUGCACAACAAAUUUCUUGAACUUACCUAUAGAACACUGAUUCUUUAUGUAAUAUCAAGAUAGCUAUUAAGAUACCCAAAGUUACUUGCAUCAAUUGCAAUAAAAAUUCCAUAAUCAGCUGAAAAAUUAAUGAAAACACUAUUAGCGUUGCUUCUUAAUGUAAAGCAAAAAUGAGCUGAAACAAAAUUACUUGUGAGAACUCAUUUUCCAUUUUGCUUCUCUAUAUCAUCA
rnacentral:misc_RNA from 1 species